CGGAGCUAACGCGUUAAGUCGACCGCCUGGGGAGUACGGCCGCAAGGUUAAAACUCAAAUGAAUUGACGGGGGCCCGCACAAGCGGUGGAGCAUGUGGUUUAAUUCGAUGCAACGCGAAGAACCUUACCUACUCUUGACAUCCAGCGAACUUAGCAGAGAUGCUUUGGUGCCUUCGGGAACGCUGAGACAGGUGCUGCAUGGCUGUCGUCAGCUCGUGUUGUGAAAUGUUGGGUUAAGUCCCGCAACGAGCGCAACCCUUAUCCUUUGUUGCCAGCGAUUCGGUCGGGAACUCAAAGGAGACUGCCGGUGAUAAACCGGAGGAAGGUGGGGAUGACGUCAAGUCAUCAUGGCCCUUACGAGUAGGGCUACACACGUGCUACAAUGGCGCAUACAAAGAGAAGCGACCUCGCGAGAGCAAGCGGACCUCACAAAGUGCGUCGUAGUCCGGAUCGGAGUCUGCAACUCGACUCCGUGAAGUCGGAAUCGCUAGUAAUCGUGGAUCAGAAUGCCACGGUGAAUACGUUCCCGGGCCUUGUACACACCGCCCGUCACACCAUGGGAGUGGGUUGCAAAAGAAGUAGGUAGCUUAACC
rnacentral:rRNA from 1 species